GACAGAGGGGGCAAGCGUUGCUCGGAAUUACUGGGCGUAAAGGGCGCGUAGGCGGCUACGCACGUCCGUUGUGAAAUCGCUCGGCUCAACUGGGCGGGGUCAGCGGAUACGGUGUAGCUGGAGCAAGCUAGGGGGCAAUGGAAUUCCCGGUGUAGUGGUGGAAUGCGUAGAUAUCGGGAGGAACACCAGUGGCGAAGGCGGUUGCCUGGAGCUUUGCUGACGCUGAUGCGCGAAAGCGUGGGGAGCGAUCCGG
rnacentral:rRNA from 1 species